CCUUCUGCGAAAUGGUGGAAUCGCAGAAGUCAAGCAUAGCCUGAAGACAAAUCAACCUAAUCUAACACUAGCUCUAGCAAGAGCAAUGCUUCGCUGAAUCUACCACCGGAACGGAAUCGCAAAAUAUAUGUGAAAACAUUUGAAAUAAACCAAACCGUUAAGCAUAUGUUUAAAUUAUUGUGGAGUUACUUUCUCUGAUGACUUUCCGUCUUGUAUUUAUUCAAGUAUAAACGUUUCACAAAUCUCAUUUCUUGUCAUAAAUAAAUUCUGCCAUUUCUGUUAAUCAUUCAGUGGACAAAAAUAAGUUGUUGGAAUCAAAAAGCUGAAGAUGUGAACCUUCUUGAUAGUGUUUGAACCUACAGUUUUUUUUAUCCCUUAUUCCACAAAGCACAACAUUCAUAUAAAAUUAGUAAUGUCCAAAAAGGUCCACUUUAUAUUGAAAAUAAAAAUUUCACGUGACCGAAAACUAUCUAUUAAUAAAUAAAUUUUACCCAAUUAGUGAGAGUCGAGAGGGUAUUGACGCACAACGAGCGCACUAUGUUCACCUUACUGAUAUGAUUGACAUUUUUAAUUAAUCGCGUAUUCUUAAUUAAUACAAACUUAUUUUUAGAUCAAUAGUAGUAGUCGUGGAGACAGUUUCAGACAAACAAACAUUUCCAUUGCACGAUAAGAUAAAACUCCAAUGUCUCGAAUAACAAACCUUCAUUCGGGCUUUGCAAUAAAUAUUAUUAUAACGUUGAUAAUAUCAGGAGGAAUCCCGGAAACUUUUAAAAUUUUAUUAAUAAGUAAUCCAUUACAUGGUUUCAUUGAAAUAGUUUUUGUGUUUCAUCUGAUGUUAGCGAGCUUCUUGCUCUUAUCCCGCUAUGUGAAGUUGGCACAUGAUAAGGUCCUUUUUUUCCAUUGGGGCCUAUCAUACGUCAUCUCUUCCCCUAUUCCCUUCUUUCGCAUAUCCUCAUUUCACAUAUCUGAUAUUAGACAGGUACCGUAGUCCAUAGACAACAUUUGAAACCCAUUGACACUAGAUGUUUCAAUUACAUUUGUACUACCGUUGCUAUAUUCUACAAAAUGCAUGGUUACAGCUUUAUUUGGAUGAUGGGACAGUGCUUAAUAGUGUAGGCUUGCCACAUGUCCAACAGUCCUUGAAACCAGAAUAUAUUUCAAUAUAAGCUGGAUAAACUGGAUAAACAAAUUACAACUGCUUCGAGUUAUGAUGUGUGAUUCACUUAAAAUUGCACAUACUACGUAAGUGUCAGCCAAUAUUUUCCCAGCCUUAAAUAAUAUCGAUGCGAUUUUCUCUAUAUCCCUAAAAUAUUACCGUAUUUAAAAAUCAAUAAAAACUUUGAAAACUGGAAGCGGUUCAAGAAAUUCGUUGAAGGAAAUAUUGUAUGAACUGUUAUGUUUAAUCUUUGGAACUUUUUCAAAGAGCGCGGGGUUAUCGCUCAUUUUUUUUUUAUUUAAAUAAGAAGUGUCCACAUUUGUUUAGUUCUGGAAAAAUACUUUUGUAAUCUACUUGCGAAUUUGCUUAAAUGUUCCACCGUGUCAUCUUGAUUGGCGUUUUGACAUUAGAAUAGUUUAGUGACCUUUUGCACUGUAAAUAUAAAUAUACAUACAUAAAUUUAUUAUUUAAUUUAAGGGAGAGGAUAUGAUUAUUUUAAGUAAAGUCUUUAUCGAUUUUAAUCGGCUGAUAAGCCUACACUUUCUUCCUGUGUAAUUGCCUUCAAAAUCCGUUCUGGCUCAAAUCUGAUCACGUCAUAAUUGAUCAGGUUGUGAGAUCUCCGUACUUUACAUGUGAUACGUUGAAUUGGUUUACGAACUAAUGGCCCACGUGAUAUUCAGUGGUUACUACCACCCAUAGACAUCUGAACGCAAGGCCAAAUCCUCAGUUUACUAUUAAUGAAACAUUUUCUAACCAACAUUGACAAUCAACUUCAAAUUAUCAUGUCACGAUAAAUAAAUAUGAUGCUCAUGGAAAAGUUCAUACAGAACGUUUCCCAUUUAAAUGUCAGUUAACACAUUCGCGCUGAAAACUGCUUCUGUUCGUGAGGACAUUCGUGAACUGGUAAUAACUGACAAAUUAUAGAACCAGUACGAAAUUCACAGACUUUUCCAAGUAAAAUGGAAAAUCAAGGAUAUUUUGUGUUAAUGUGAUUCACGAUAUCGUGAUGUGAUUCGUAAAUAUCAAUCAAUGUGUGCGUGAUUUCUUUAAAACAGAAUUUUACGGUUUAGCGUAAUCCGUUGUGAUGCCUUUCAAAUGAGGAUUCACAAGGUUCCUAAGCGGUAGUCCGCGGCAUGGUUUUGCCCUUGGUAUUGCUGGAGAUAAAAGGGAUAAAAAUCAAAACUUUUUUAUCUCUAUACCCGAAUAAAAAGGUUGGAAAUUUUAUUUUUACACGGAUCCACGUGUAGUUUUAUUGUUUUGGGCGUGCAUAGCAGUAAACGCUAAUGUUAAUAAAAACACGUGAUUUUUUCAACCGGUACCUACCACUUAAUAUUUUUUAUUAUUAAUUUAUUUAUUAUUAAUUAUUAAAUUUUUUAUUAUUAAAUUAUUUUUAUAUGACUGCUCUAUAUUGAAAUGAUUUAUUUAUUAAGAAAUAUAUGCCUAUUUGGCUUAAUACUUUUCAAUAAUAAUAAAAAAAAAACAUUCUAGAAACAAGAGCAAGCGCUUGUUGUAAAUAUGUACCUACCUACUCUUUGAUAGCACGUGAAUGUUCUCAAAAGACUCAAAACGUGACAUUCAAUGAUACAUUUUCGUUAUCUACAAUACGCAUAGUUAUUCCGUCGCAGGCGUUCGUUUUGUUCAGAAAUGCGUAAUUGACAAGAAGCUGCUAUAUUUGUGUAAGCCCAAUUCUCACUUAACAUCAGCAUUAAUGGCAUAAAUUGGUUGGCUUGAAUUUAACCGUUAAGAGUAAUCAAAGGCAAUAAUAAAUUCGUAGGUGCAGAUGCUUUGGUUUUUUUUUACAAACACCAA